rnacentral:lncRNA from 1 species
ACACAGGGGUUGGAUGGACACAGGGGUUGGAUUUGGAUUUGAAUUUGGAUUUGGAGGACACAGGGGCUGGAUUUGGAUUUGGAUUUGGAGGACACAGGAAUUGGAUUUGAAUUUGGAUUUGGAGGACACAGGGGUUGGGAUUGGGUUUGGAUUUGGAGGACCCAGCCUUUAUUUCCCCCCUUUAUUCCCUUUAUUAUUUCCUCCCUUUAUUCCCUUUAUUUCCCCCCUUUAUUUCCUCCCUUUAUUCCCUUUAUUUCCACAUCACUCUUGUCAUUAUUUGCUGCUUCUGGAGGGCUUUGCUUUCAUUUCCCUUCAGCAUUUUCUUAUAGAAAAUAAAGAAGAAAAAUCUUCUUCAUUUUAGGGUUAAAAAAAACAAAAAAAGGUUUUCUUUGGUUCCUUUAGAAAAACCAUUUGGGUUUUCUUUAACCCAAAACCUGGGUUCAGUUCCCAUCAGAAAAAGCUCCUGAGGUUUGGUCCAAAAUCCUCCNGUUUAUUCACUCCAUCAAUCACUUUUUAUAACCGUGUUAAUUAAGUUCAUGCAUAUUGCAAUGAACUUAA